rnacentral:rRNA from 1 species
GACGAACGCUGGCGGCGUGCCUAACACGUGCAAGUCGAGCGGGGAUUUAAGUGGAAGUUCUUCGGAAUGGAGAUUUAAAUUCUAGCGGCGGACGGGUGAGUAACGCGUGAACAAUCUGUCCCGGACAGGGGGAUAACACUUGGAAACAGGUGCUAAUACCGCAUAAGACCACGGCCUCGCAUGGGGCUGAGGUCAAAGGAGCAAUCCGGUUCGGGGUGAGUUCGCGUCCGAUUAGCUAGUUGGUGAGGUAACGGCCCACCAAGGCGACGAUCGGUAGCCGGCCUGAGAGGGUGAACGGCCACAUUGGAACUGAGAGACGGUCCAAACUCCUACGGGAGGCAGCAGUGGGGAAUAUUGGGCAAUGGGCGAAAGCCUGACCCAGCAACGCCGCGUGAGGGAAGAAGGUUUUCGGAUUGUAAACCUCUGUCCUAUGGGACGAAGGAAGUGACGGUACCAUAGGAGGAAGCCCCGGCUAACUACGUG